rnacentral:miRNA from 1 species
GAACUAUUCUGCAACAUUUGUU